rfam:Oryza sativa (indica cultivar-group) chromosome 2, whole genome shotgun sequence.
AAAAAGAAAAAUCCUGGGUUUCCAUGUCCAACGUUUGACUGUCCGUCUUAUAUAAAUUUUUUUUAUAAUUAGUAUUUUUAUUGUUGUUAGAUGAUAAAACAUGAUUAAUGUUUUAUGCGUGACUUAUUUUUUUUAAUUUUUUUCAUAAUUUUUUAAAAUAAUAUAGGCGAUCAAACGUCGAAUACGAAAACCCAGGUUUAUUAUUAUA